CAAGAGGUAGUUUAAUUAGAACUUCAGCUUUGGGUGCUGAUGGUAGGGCUUAAGUCUUUCUCUUGA
rnacentral:tRNA from 1 species